ACGGGACCCGCACAAGCGGUGGAUGAUGUGGUUUAAUUCGAUGCAACGCGAAAACCUUACCCACCUUUGACAUGUACGGAACCCUUUAGAGAUGGAGGGGUGCUCGAAAGAGAGCCGUAACACAGGUGCUGCAUGGCUGUCGUCAGCUCGUGUCGUGAGAUGUUGGGUUAAGUCCCGCAACGAGCGCAACCCUUGUCAUUAGUUGCUACAUUCAGUUGGGCACUCUAAUGAGACUGCCGGUGACAAGCCGGAGGAAGGUGGGGAUGACGUCAAGUCCUCAUGGCCCUUAUAGGUGGGGCUACACACGUCAUACAAUGGCUGGUACAAAGGGUUGCCAACCCGCGAGGGGGAGCCAAUCCCAUAAAGCCAGUCGUAGUCCGGAUCGUAGUCUGCAACUCGACUACGUGAAGUCGGAAUCGCUAGUAAUCGUGGAUCAGAAUGUCACGGUGAAUACGUUCCCGGGUCUU
rnacentral:rRNA from 1 species